rnacentral:rRNA from 1 species
GACGAACGCUGGCGGCGUGCCUAAUACAUGCAAGUAGAACGCUGAAGGAGGAGCUUGCUCUUCUGGAUGAGUUGCGAACGGGUGAGUAACGCGUAGGUAACCUGCCUGUUAGCGGGGGAUAACUAUUGGAAACGAUAGCUAAUACCGCAUAAGAGUAGAUGUUGCAUGACAUUUACUUAAAAGGUGCAAUUGCAUCACUACCAGAUGGACCUGCGUUGUAUUAGCUAGUUGGUGGGGUAACGGCUUACCAAGGCGACGAUACAUAGCCGACCUGAGAGGGUGAUUGGCCACACUGGGACUGAGACACGGCCCAGACUCCUACGGGAGGCAGCAGUAGGGAAUCUUCGGCAAUGGAAGGAAGUCUGACCGAGCAACGCCGCGGGAGUGAAGAAGGUUUUCGGAUCGUAAAGCUCUGUUGUAAGAGAAGAACGAGUGUGAGAGUGGAAAGUUCACACUGUGACGGUAUCUUACCAGAAAGGGACGGCUAACUACGUG